UCUUUUUUCUUUUUAAUAGUAGCUCAGUUUUAUUUUCUGUGGUAACAAACAUUUAAGAACCAGAGAAAACAAGGGACCCCUGAGCACACAAAGGCAGUACAGGCCGACCAUGAGGCCCUCCCGGGAAAGUAGCAACUGUGGGAAUUCCCUGCCCUAGGGAGGAUGGAUGCACUGCCUAGGAGGAGACGCAAGGUUAGACCUCGCCCCAUUUUCCCAGGCCAGGCUUAGCGGGAAACUGGGGGCCCAAAGUGCUGCAGGGUCCGCACCACCAGAGAAAGAUGGUCGAGAAAGUUGAUAAGGGAAAUUCGGAGCAGGCAACAGUCUUCAGCUUUCCAGCGGACGGCCAGGAUCCUGCCGCUCACUGUGAGAUCCUUCCCAACCACCCUUUGGUGGGGUUCGGCAUCUGGAGCCAGGGACCCAUGGGCAAUUUCCACCUCUAAGGGGGUCGGGAAAGGCACGCUGAGGGUGAAUAUGUGCGGCCGCAUUCCUGGCCCUUGGCCACAGACGCUGCGUUUCUGCUAGGACCUGACACGUGCGGUGGGGGAGCUCCGCUGGCCGGAGCUGCCGGGGUGUCCGCGCCCCCGGGGCAGCUGUGAUCACCCUAGCCAUCCCCGCAGUUGGCGCCUCCGCCUGCGUCUGCAUCCACGUCCCACAUAACCGCCCUGGCUCCGACUCCUUUUCUUUGUAAAAUUGCCAGUUUUUUUAUUUUAUUUUACGUAAGAAUGCUUCUUAAAAGUGUUAACUUUUUUGUUAGUUUCGUUUUUAGACAGGGUAUUGCUCUGUCGUCCAGGCUGAGGUUCAGUGGUGCAAUCACCACUCACUGCAGCCUUGACCUCCCAGGUCCAUCCUCCUGCCUCAGCCUCCCAAGUAGCUGGGAGUACAGGCCCACACCACCACACUAACUCUAAUUUUUGUAGAAACGAGGUCUUAUUAUGUUGCUCAGGCUGGUCUCAAACUCCGGGACUCAAGGGAUCCGCCUGCCUUGGCCUCCCAAAGUGCUGGGAUUACAGGCUUGAGCCACCAUGCACCCCCUACUCUUCCUUUAUUAGCAUUUAACACUCAACUGUUUGUUUCUGGUUCCCUAUGUUGUGAGCUCCUUGAAGGCAGGGACCACGACUUAUGUGAUUUUUUUUUUUUUCUGAGACUCGACAGAGUCUUGCUCUGUCAACCAGGCUGGAGUAUAGCGGCACCAUCUAGCUCAAUUGCCACUUUCCCAAAGAAAUUCUCUCUGAUCUAUCAGGUUAAUAUAGGAGGCUCUCCCCUACUGACUUCUACCUCAUGGUUUCUCUGGCAGUCUGUUGACUUGUUUGGCUUCUCACUAAAGUCUAACUGGGGCUUUUCAACUCUGCAUCUCCAGUUCUGU
rnacentral:lncRNA from 1 species